CCGUGCAAAGGUAGCGUAAUCACUUGUCCUCUAAAUAAGGACCAGUAUGAACGGCAACAUGAGAAAGGGCCUGUCUCUUUAAGCUAGUCGGUGAACCUGAUCUACCUGUACAAAAGCAGGCAUGAAAAAACAAGACAAAAAGACCCUGUGAAACUUAAAAUGUCCCUCAACUAAAUGAGAAGACAUUUUUUGGUUGGGGCAACCAAAGAGAAACAAACCUCAUAAUUUUCGCGAGGCCAACAAGCCUAACGAGCCAAAAAGAUCCAGUACCACUGAUCGAAGAACGAAGCUACUCCAGGGAUAACAGCGCCACAUUCUUAAAGAGUCCUUAUCAACAAGAAUAUCUACGACCUCGAUGUUGGAUCAGGGUAUCCUAAUGGCGCAAAAGCUAUUAAGGGUUCGUUUGUUCAACGAUUAAAACCCUACGUGAUCUGAGUUCAGAC
rnacentral:rRNA from 1 species